rnacentral:rRNA from 1 species
AACGAACGCUGGCGGCGCGCUUAACACAUGCAAGUCGAACGCAUGCUUGAUCUUCGGGUUGGGCAUGAGUGGCGGACGGGUGAGUAACGCGUGGGAACCUGCCCUGAGGUUCGGGACAACCGUGGGAAACUGCGGCUAAUACCGGAUAUCUCCUUUGGGAGAAAGACUUGUCGCCUUGGGAGGGGCCGCGUCGGAUUAGCUUGUUGGUGGGGUAACGGCCUACCAAGGCAUCGAUCCGUAGCUGGUCUGAGAGGAUGAUCAGCCACACUGGGACUGAGACACGGCCCAGACUCCUACGGGAGGCAGCAGUGGGGAAUCUUGGACAAUGGGGGCGAACCCUCGAUCCAGCGACGCCGCGUGGGUGGACGAAGG